rnacentral:rRNA from 1 species
AGCCAUGCCGCGUGUAUGAAGAAGGCCUUCGGGUUGUAAAGUACUUUCAGUUGUGAGGAAGGGGGUGUCGUUAAUAGCGGCAUCUCUUGACGUUAGCAACAGAAGAAGCACCGGCUAACUCCGUGCCAGCAGCCGCGGUAAUACGGAGGGUGCGAGCGUUAAUCGGAAUUACUGGGCGUAAAGCGCAUGCAGGUGGUUCAUUAAGUCAGAUGUGAAAGCCCGGGGCUCAACCUCGGAACUGCAUUUGAAACUGGUGAACUAGAGUACUGUAGAGGGGGGUAGAAUUUCAGGUGUAGCGGUGAAAUGCGUAGAGAUCUGAAGGAAUACCAGUGGCGAAGGCGGCCCCCUGGACAGAUACUGACACUCAGAUGCGAAAGCGUGGGGAGCAAACAGGAUUAGAUACCCUGGUAGUCCACGCCGUAAACGAUGUCUACUUGGAGGUUGUGGCCUUGAGCCGUGGCUUUCGGAGCUAACGCGUUAAGUAGACCGCCUGGGGAGUACGGUCGCAAGAUUAAAACUCAAAUGAAUUGACGGGGGCCCGCACAAGCGGUGGAGCAUGUGGUUUAAUUCGAUGCAACGCGAAGAACCUUACCUACUCUUGACAUCCAGAGAAGCCAGCGGAGACGCAGGUGUGCCUUCGGGAGCUCUGAGACAGGUGCUGCAUGGCUGUCGUCAGCUCGUGUUGUGAAAUGUUGGGUUAAGUCCCGCAACGAGCGCAACCCUUAUCCUUGUUUGCCAGCGAGUAAUGUCGGGAACUCCAGGGAGACUGCCGGUGAUAAACCGGAGGAAGGUGGGGACGACGUCAAGUCAUCAUGGCCCUUACGAGUAGGGCUACACACGUGCUACAAUGGCGCAUACAGAGGGCAGCGAACUUGCGAGAGUGAGCGAAUCCCAAAAAGUGCGUCGUAGUCCGGAUUGGAGUCUGCAACUCGACUCCAUGAAGUCGGAAUCGCUAGUAAUCGUAGAUCAGAAUGCUACGGUGAAUACGUUCCCGGGCCUUGUACACACCGCCCGUCACACCAUGGGAGUGGGCUGCAAAAGAAGUGGGUAGUUUAACCUUUCGGAGGACGCUCUCAC